rnacentral:rRNA from 1 species
GUCGAACGCUGAUGGCCCAGCUUGCUGGGUUGGAUGAGUGGCGAACGGGUGAGUAACACGUGAGUAACCUGCCCUCUUCUUUGGGAUAACGGUCGGAAACGGCUGCUAAUACCGGGUAUUCACUGUCCUUCGCAUGGGGGGUGGUGGAAAGGUUUUUUCUGGUGGGGGAUGGGCUCGCGGCCUAUCAGCUUGUUGGUGGGGUGAUGGCUUACCAAGGCUUUGACGGGUAACCGGCCUGAGAGGGUGACCGGUCACAUUGGGACUGAGAUACGGCCCAGACUCCUACGGGAGGCAGCAGUGGGGAAUAUUGCACAAUGGGCGAAAGCCUGAUGCAGCGACGCCGCGUGAGGGAUGRAGGCCUUCGGGUUGUAAACCUCUUUCGCUCAUGGUCAAGCCGCAACAGUGGUUGUGGUGAGGGUAGUGGGUAAAGAAGCACCGGCUAACUACGUGCCAGCAGCCGCGGUAAUACGUAGGGUGCGAGCGUUGUCCGGAAUUAUUGGGCGUAAAGGGCUUGUAGGCGGUUUGUCGCGUCUGCCGUGAAAUCCUCUGGCUUAACUGGGGGCGUGCGGUGGGUACGGGCAGGCUUGAGUGCGGUAGGGGAGACUGGAACUCCUGGUGUAGCGGUGGAAUGCGCAGAUAUCAGGAAGAACACCGGUGGCGAAGGCGGGUCUCUGGGCCGUUACUGACGCUGAGGAGCGAAAGCGUGGGGAGCGAACAGGAUUAGAUACCCUGGUAGUCCACGCUGUAA